GAUGAACGCUGGCGGCGUGCCUAAUACAUGCAAGUCGAGCGAACAGAUAAGGAGCUUGCUCCUUUGACGUUAGCGGCGGACGGGUGAGUAACACGUGGGUAACCUACCUAUAAGACUGGUAUAACUCCGGGAAACCGGGGCUAAUGCCGGAUAACAUUUAGAACCGCAUGGUUCUAAAGUGAAAGAUGGUUUUGCUAUCACUUAUAGAUGGACCCGCGCCGUAUUAGCUAGUUGGUAAGGUAACGGCUUACCAAGGCAACGAUACGUAGCCGACCUGAGAGAGUGAUCGGCCACACUGGAACUGAGACACGGUCCAGACUCCUACGGGAGGCAGCAGUAGGGAAUCUUACGCAAUGGGCGAAAGCCUGACGGAGCAACGCCGCGUGAGUGAUGAAGGUCUUCGGAUCGUAAAACUCUGUUAUUAGGGAAGAACAAAUGUGUAAGUAACUGUGCACGUCUUGACGGUACCUAAUCAGAAAGCAACGGCUAACUACGUG
rnacentral:rRNA from 1 species